rnacentral:rRNA from 1 species
CCUACGGGUGGCAGCAGUGAGGAAUAUUGGUCAAUGGCCGUAAGGCUGAACCAGCCAAGUCGCGUGAAGGAAGAAGGAUCUAUGGUUUGUAAACUUCUUUUAUAGGGGAAUAAAGGUAUCCACGUGUGGAUAUUUGCAUGUACCCUAUGAAUAAGCAUCGGCUAACUCCGUGCCAGCCGCCGCGGUAAUACGGAGGAUGCGAGCGUUAUCCGGAUUUAUUGGGGUUAAAGGGGGCGGAUGUUGGUUUGUAAGGUAGCGGUGAAAGUUUGUGGGUCAAACAUAAACUUGCCGUUGAAACUGGACGACUUGAGGGUGUUUGAGGUAGGGGGAAUGCGUGGGGUAGCGGUGAAAUGCAUAGA